rnacentral:tRNA from 1 species
UGGGGUGUGGCUCAGUGGUAGAGCGCUCGCCUAGCUUAUUCGAGGUGCUGGGUUCAAUCCUCAGCACUACAU